UGUUAUCCUAUCUGAGCUUU
rnacentral:snRNA from 1 species